UCCUGUUCCUAAGUACUAGUGCCGCAGGAGUGAUUAGGUUGCAUGAGACAUUACCGUAUCUCCUGCUGCUCAAGUGCUUAUCAACGGGU
rnacentral:pre_miRNA from 1 species